rnacentral:rRNA from 1 species
GGAGUGCUUGCACUCUGUGAAACAAGAUACAGGCUAGCGGCGGACGGGUGAGUAACACGUGGGUAACCUGCCCAAGAGAUCGGGAUAACACCUGGAAACAGAUGCUAAUACCGGAUAACAACAGAUGAUGCCUAUCAACUGUUUAAAAGAUGGUUCUGCUAUCACUCUUGGAUGGACCUGCGGUGCAUUAGCUAGUUGGUAGGGUAACGGCCUACCAAGGCGAUGAUGCAUAGCCGAGUUGAGAGACUGAUCGGCCACAUUGGGACUGAGACACGGCCCAAACUCCUACGGGAGGCAGCAGUAGGGAAUCUUCCACAAUGGACGCAAGUCUGAUGGAGCAACGCCGCGUGAGUGAAGAAGGGUUUCGGCUCGUAAAGCUCUGUUGUUGGUGAAGAAGGACAGGGGUAGUAACUGACCUUUGUUUGACGGUAAUCAAUUAGAAAGUCACGGCUAACUACGCGCCAGCAGCCGCGGUAAUACGUAGGUGGCAAGCGUUGUCCGGAUUUAUUGGGCGUAAAGCGAGUGCAGGCGGCUCGAUAAGUCUGAUGUGAAAGCCUUCGGCUCAACCGGAGAAUUGCAUCAGAAACUGUCGAGCUUGAGUACAGAAGAGGAGAGUGGAACUCCAUGUGUAGCGGUGAAAUGCGUAGAUAUAUGGAAGAACACCGGUGGCGAAGGCGGCUCUCUGGUCUGUUACUGACGCUGAGGCUCGAAAGCAUGGGUAGCGAACAGGAUUAGAUACCCUGGUAGUCCAUGCCGUAAACGAUGAGUGC